rnacentral:lncRNA from 1 species
GUAUAUACAUUGCUCUACUUUAAAUGCUCUACUUUUAAUUCUUGAAACGGAUUAUUAGUCUUCUUUAUAAUAUUGUUAAUUGUAACAAAAAUGUGGGUGCAUGCGUGUUAGUUGGAGAUUUUCUGAACAGGUGACUUCCUUCUCCUCAAGAUGGCGUGAAUCUCUCGUUUUCUUACUUCCAAAUCAUUACAACCUAGACCUUUAAAUCUUCCUUCACGUAAACCAAAAAAAAAAAAAAACCAAGUAAUUUUCUAGAUCUAAGUUAUUCCGAAUUUGAAAAAAUGGUUCACUAUAUAUACUGUAUUUGGUUGAUAUUUAUUGCCGCAUAUAUAUCAUCAUACUAUUCUGUUACGGAUAAGCG